AUAACUCAGGGACCAUGGCACCAUGGAUAUGUCUUGUCUUGUCACUCAUGCUAGGAGAGUCUGUUGGGAAUACAAUAACACCAUCACAUUCUUCAGUUGUCAUUAGUGAGGGAGAAAAUGUCACUUUCUCCUGUAACUACAGUGGUAAUGUGGAUAAUUUACAGUGGUAUCAGCAAUAUCCCAACUCUAUCCCAGAGUUCCUCUACUACAUAUAUGAGCAUGGUUCCUCUUCAGUGAAAGUUCCCCGUCUGACUCCCUCCAUAAACAAAGAGGGAAAACGUGUGUUUCUGGAACUUACCUCUGCUGAGGCGUCUGACUCUGCUGUGUACUACUGCGCCCUGAGGCCCACAGUGACAGGAACUCCAACCCUGUAGUGCAAAAACCUCUCAGAUGUGGAGG